AGAUGGCUGUCAAGUCGAUUCUUUCAUCAACUUAAUAACAAGUGUUUGUUUUUAUGGCCUAUAGAUGCAUGCAGUAACUUGAGUUCAGUGUCACAGUGCUGCGUCUAAAAAGCCCAAAGCUGAUACGACUGGCGAUUGAUCCUAAAGCUGAUUUGACAGAUGAUUGCAUCAUCACAAUAUUAAAGGUUCAAUAUACAGUCAGCAUCUCAUAAGAAUAAAUCCCAAGAUCCAAGACUUGCUUAAAAGCUUAAUUAAGAGACCAUUCUGUGCCACAAAGAAAUUGUUCAGGAAAGGGAGAAAUGGUGAAUUUGCAUUUUGGGUACAGUUCAAAGAGAGUUCAAAAUGGUCAAGCUCAUGGAAGAUCAGAAGGAGGACAACUGAAGAAAACUGAAAGAUACAGAAGGAAAAAGAACAAGAAAAUAUAUGAAAUAAUUAUGGAAUUGGAAGGAUGUACACAAUCUUGUCUGCAUUUGACCUGUAAAGAUUUAAUUCCCAUUCUUAUUUGUAUCCUGUAAUAUCAAAUAACUUGAUUUUUCAUAAAUUUACAAUAGAGAAUACAUGACAAAUGUUAUAUGUGAUAUUUCAAUUU